rnacentral:rRNA from 1 species
GAUGAACGCUGGCGGCGUGCCUAAUACAUGUAAGUCGAGCGAACAGACGAGGAGCUUGCUCCUCUGACGUUAGCGGCGGACGGGUGAGUAACACGUGGAUAACCUACCUAUAAGACUGGGAUAACUUCGGGAAACCGGAGCUAAUACCGGAUAAUAUAUUGAACCGCAUGGUUCAAUAGUGAAAGACGGUUUUGCUGUUACUUAUAGAUGGAUCCGCGCCGCAUUAGCGAGUUGGUAAGGUAACGGCUUACCAAGGCAACGAUGCGUAGCCGACCUGAGAGGGUGAUCGGCCACACUGGAACUGAGACACGGUCCAGACUCCUACGGGAGGCAGCAGUAGGGAAUCUUCCGCAAUGGGCGAAAGCCUGACGGAGCAACGCCGCGUGAGUGAUGAAGGUCUUCGGAUCGUAAAACUCUGUUAUUAGGGAAGAACAAAUGUGUAAGUAACUAUGCACGUCUUGACGGUACCUAAUCAGAAAGCCACGGCUAACUACGUG